AUUUGUANAGAUACAAAGUUCCCUUCGGGGACGCUAAGACAGGUGGUGCAUGGCUGUCGUCAGCUCGUGUCGUGAGAUGUUGGGUUAAGUCCCGCAACGAGCGCAACCCUUGUUAUUAGUUGCCAGCAUUAAGUUGGGCACUCUAAUGAGACUGCCGGUGACAAACCGGAGGAAGGUGGGGAUGACGUCAAGUCAUCAUGCCCCUUAUGACCUGGGCUACACACGUGCUACAAUGGGCAGUACAACGAGAAGCGAGCCUGCGAAGGCAAGCGAAUCUCUGAAAGCUGUUCUCAGUUCGGACUGCAGUCUGCAACUCGACUGCACGAAGCUGGAAUCGCUANUAAUCGC
rnacentral:rRNA from 1 species